rnacentral:tRNA from 1 species
CGGAGGGGUGUCCGAGUGGUCGAUGGUGCUUGCUUGGAAGGCAUGUGUACCUUUGGGUACCGGAGGUUCGAAUCCUCUCCCCUCCGCCAA